UGGUCGAUGCUAGAGUGGUUAAUGGGGACAAAUUGUAAAUUCAUCGGCAAUAUGUCUACGCUAGUUCAAAUCUAGCUCGGCCCA
rfam:Lupinus angustifolius cultivar Tanjil contig_45971, whole genome shotgun sequence.